CGGACUCCGACUACGACCUGUCUCCCAAGGCCAUGUCCCGCAACUCCUCUCUUACCAGCGAAGGGCUCACAGAAGACUUCAUUGUCACCCCUUUUGCUCAGGUUCUGGCAAGU